UAAAUACGAGAUGCUACGGCGUUGAAGCAGUGUAUGUCAGACUUCCAAGAAAAGCUCGCAAUGUCAUAAAUAAAGAAUGCCUGUACCAUAACCGACACAGGUGGGUAGGUAGAGUAUACUAAGGGGCGCGAGAUAACUCUCUCUAAGGAACUCGGCAAAAUAACUCCGUAACUUCGGGAGAAGGAGUGCCUUCUUUAAGAAGGUUGCAAUAACAAGAUCCAAGCAACUGUUUAUCAAAAACACAGGUCUCCGCUAAGUCGUAAGACGAUGUAUGGGGGCUGACGCCUGCCCAGUGCCAGAAGGUUAAAGAAAUUGGUUAGCAUUUGCGAAGCUGAUGACUGAAGCCCUGGUGAACGGCGGCCGUAACUAUAACGGUCCUAAGGUAGCGAAAUUCCUUGUCGGGUAAGUUCCGACCCGCACGUAAGGCGUAAUGAUUUGGAUACUGUCUCGGAGAGGGACUCGGUGAAAUAGACUUGUCUGUGAAGAUGCGGACUACCUGCACCAGGACAGAAAGACCCUAUGAAGCUUUACUGUAACUUGAGAUUGAAAUUGGACUUUAUUUGCGCAGCAUAGGUGGAAGGCGUUGAGACCAAUCUUGCGGGAUUGGUGGAGCCAUCAGUGAGAUACCACUCCUAUAAUGUUAGAUUUCUAACUUUGAAUCAUGAUCUGGUCAAAGAACAGUUUCAGGCGGGCAGUUUGACUGGGGCGGUCGCCUCCCAAAUGGUAACGGAGGCGUACAAAGGUUUCCUCUGAACGGGUAGAAAUCGUAUCUAGAGUGUAAAGGCAUAAGGAAGCUUGACUGUGAGACCUACAAGUCGAGCAGGGACGAAAGUCGGUCUUAGUGAUCUGACGGUGCUGAGUGGAAAGGCCGUCACUCAACGGAUAAAAGUUACUCUAAGGAUAACAGGCUGAUCUCCCCCAAGAGUUCACAUCGACGGGGAGGUUUGGCACCUCGAUGUCGGCUCAUCGCAUCCUGGGGCGGUAGUACGUCCCAAGGGUUGGGCUGUUCGCCCAUGAAAGCGGUACGCGAGCUGGGUUCAGAACGUCGUGAGACAGUUCGGUCCAUAUCCGGUGUAGGCGUUAGAAUAUUGAGAGGAGCCUUCUUUAGUACGAGAGGACCGAGAAGGACAUACCUCUGGUGUACCAGUUAUCGUGCCAACGGUAAACGCUGGGUAGCUAUGUAUGGAGAGGAUAACCGCUGAAAGCAUCUAAGUGGGAAGCCCACCUCAAGAUGAGUAUUCUCA
rnacentral:rRNA from 1 species